UAAGGAAUAUUGGUCAAUGGACGAAAGUCUGAACCAGCCAUGCCGCGUGAGGGAUGAAGGUCCUCUGGAUUGUAAACCUCUUUUAUCUGUGAAUAAAUACCUGAUUUCUAUCGGGUUUGAAGGUAAUAGAUGAAUAAGCACCGGCUAACUCCGUGCCAGCAGCCGCGGUAAUACGGAGGGUGCAAGCGUUAUCCGGAUUUACUGGGUUUAAAGGGUGCGUAGGUGGGUUGGUAAGUCAGUGGUGAAAUACUUUCGCUUAACGAAGGAACUGCCAUUGAUACUACCAGUCUUGAAUACAGUGGAGGUAGGCGGAAUGCGUCAUGUAGCGGUGAAAUGCUUAGAUAUGACGCAGAACACCAAUUGCGAAGGCAGCUUGCUACACUGUUAUUGACACUGAGGCACGAAAGCGUGGGGAUCAAACAGGAUUAGAUACCCCGGUAGUCC
rnacentral:rRNA from 1 species